rnacentral:tRNA from 1 species
GGGGUUGUGGCUCAGUGGUAGAGCGCUUGCCUAGCAUGUAUGAGGCACUGGGUUCAAGUCUCAGCACCACA